CCCCUCUGGAUUCCUUAUCCCUGAGAUGUAAUUAUUGGUCUAAGUGGCCCAAGAAGGAGGAAAAGGAAAACGUAAGUGGACUCGGAGUCUGUAGUGACAUACAAGUCCAUUUCAGACAUUU
rnacentral:snoRNA from 1 species